rnacentral:rRNA from 1 species
AUUGAACGCUGGCUGCAUGCUUUACACAUGCAAGUCGAACGGUAACGCAGGGGCAACCCUGGCGACGAGUGGCGAACGGGUGAGUAAUACAUCGGAGCGUACCCAGUUGUGGGGGAUAGCUCGGCGAAAGCCGGAUUAAUACCGCAUACGACCUACGGGUGAAAGCGGGGGCUCGCAAGACCUCGCGCUAUUGGAGCGGCCGAUGGCAGAUUAGCUUGUUGGUGAGGAAGAGCUUACCAAGGCGACGAUCUGUAGCUGGUCUGAGAGGACGACCAGCCACACUGGGACUGAGACACGGCCCAGACUCCUACGGGAGGCAGCAGUGGGGAAUUUUGGACAAUGGGCGAAAGCCUGAUCCAGCAAUGCCGCGUGUGUGAUGAAGGCC